rnacentral:pre_miRNA from 1 species
GUCCCUUUCAAAGUGGCUGUGACUUGUUAUUCAAAUUAUUCAUAUCACAGCCAGCUUUGAAGAGCGAUG